rnacentral:rRNA from 1 species
AUUGAACGCUGGCGGCAGGCCUAACACAUGCAAGUCGAGCGGAUGAAGGGAGCUUGCUCCUGGAUUCAGCGGCGGACGGGUGAGUAAUGCCUAGGAAUCUGCCUGGUAGUGGGGGAUAACGUCCGGAAACGGGCGCUAAUACCGCAUACGUCCUGAGGGAGAAAGUGGGGGAUCUUCGGACCUCACGCUAUCUGAUGAGCCUAGGUCGGAUUAGCUAGUUGGUGGGGUAAAGGCCUACCAAGGCGACGAUCCGUAACUGGUCUGAGAGGAUGAUCAGUCACACUGGAACUGAGACACGGUCCAGACUCCUACGGGAGGCAGCAGUGGGGAAUAUUGGACAAUGGGCGAAAGCCUGAUCCAGCCAUGCCGCGUGUGUGAAGAAGGUCUUCGGAUUGUAAAGCACUUUAAGUUGGGAGGAAGGACAGUAAGUUAAUACCUGGCUGUUUUGACGUUACCAACAGAAUAAGCACCGGCUAACUUCGUG